UACGUAGGCAGCAAGCGUUGUUCGGAGUUACUGGGCGUAAAGGGUGUGUAGGCGGUUGGAUAAGUGUGGUGUGAAAUCUCCCGGCUCAACUGGGAGGGUGCGCUACAAACUGUCUGACUAGAGUGCGGGAUGGGAAAGUGGAAUUCCUGGUGUAGCGGUGAAAUGCGUAGAUAUCUGGAGGAACACCGGUGGCGAAGGCGGCAUCCUGGACCGAGAUUGACGCUGAUGCGCGAAAGCCAGGGGAGCAAACGGG
rnacentral:rRNA from 1 species